GACAGACAGAGAGAGAGACAGACAGAGAGAGAUAAAGAGACAGACAGAGAGAGAGAGUGUGUGUACAGUGUGUGUACAGUGUGUAUACAGUGUGUGUACAGUGUGUAGUACAGUGUGUAGUACAGUGUGUAGUACAGUGUUACAGUGUGUAGUACAGUGUGUACAGUGUGUAGUACAGUGUGUAGUACAGUGUGUAUACAGUGUGUGUACAGUGUGUGUACAGUGUGUAGUACAGUGUGUACAGUGUGUAGUACAGUGUGUAGUACAGUGUGUAGUACAGUGUUACAGUGUGUAGUACAGUGUGUACAGUGUGU